rnacentral:rRNA from 1 species
CCUACGGGUGGCAGCAGUGAGGAAUAUUGGUCAAUGGCCGGGAGGCUGAACCAGCCAAGUCGCGUGAGGGAAGACGGCCCUACGGGUUGUAAACCUCUUUUGUCAGGGAGCAAGGUGCAGGUCGGGAACUGCUGUGAGAGUACCUGAAGAAAAAGCAUAGGCCAACCCCGUGCCAGCAGCGGCGGUAAUACGGGGGAUGCGAGCGUUAUCCGGAUUUAUUGGGGUAAAGGGGUGGGCAGGCGGAGGCACAAGUCAGCGGUAAAAUCGCGGGGCUCAACCCCGCUCCGCCGUUGAAACUGUGUCCCUUGAGUGCGCGAAGGGUAGGCAGAAUGCGUGGUGUAGCGGUGAAAUGCAUAGAGAUCACGCAGAACCCCGAUUGCGAAGGCAGCCUUCCGGCGACCUACUGACGCUGAGGUACGAAAGUGUGGGGAGCGAACAGGAUUAGAUACCCCAGUAGUC